UGUAAGCAUUUUGUUUGUGCGUUCGGGACGCAGAGGUCGCAAGUUCAAAUCUUGUCACCUCGACCA
rnacentral:tRNA from 1 species